rnacentral:rRNA from 1 species
GAUGAACGCUGGCGGCGUGCCUAAUACAUGCAAGUCGAGCGAACAGACCAGUAGCUUGCUCCUCUGACUUUAGCGGCGGUCGGAACAGUAACUCUUGGAUAACCUACCUAUAAGACUGUGAUAAUUUCGGCAAACCGGCGCUAAUACCGGAUAAUUUAUUGACCCGCAUGGUUCCCUAGUUAAAUACGGUUUUUCUGUCACUUAUAGCUUGCUACGCGCCUCAUUCGCUAGUUGGUAAGGUAAUGGCUUACCAAGGCGGCGAUGCGUAGCCGACCCGAGCGGGUGAUCGGCCACCCGGGAAGUGAGAAACGGUCCAGACUCCUGCGGGAGGAAGCAGUAGGGAAUCUUACGCAAUGGGGGAAAGCCGGACGGAGGAAAGCCGCGGGAGUGAUGAAGGUCUUCGGAUCGUAAAACUCUGUAAGUAGGGAAGAACAAAUGUGUAAGCAACUAGGCAGGUAAUGACGGUACCAAAUCAGAAAGCCACGGCUAACUACGUG